CUUGUGCUGCUCAGACCUCCCUGUCUCUGCCAGCCCCCCACCAACACAGCUACCCUGGCAAGGGAGGGCUGCCAUUGAAUAUUGAUGGUGUUUGAACUCAUUAAGCAGCGGAAGCAAAGCUGAAUGAGUCUCAGAAGUGUUGAACUCCUUCCUCAAACUCUGUUCCUGCCUGUAAGACCAGGUGUUUACAUGUGUGAUGAUUCUGCUUCCCCACACAUCCCCCUGGGAGACCUCUUUAUUGAAGAACAGAUGCUUGGCUUCCUGCUAAAAUUUCAAUACUGUAAACAUCCCGAGGGCGAGGAGAAAGUGUCCCUGCAGACCCCCCUGCACUCCUCUGGUCCUCUGCCCAGCACACAAGGUGCUCCUCUUUCCCCAGAGAUGAAUCUUUUUUCCGUUUCUUCUUGUGCCUUGAAUCUGCAAAGCUGCCAGCAAAGGCUGCCUGGGAAGCGUGGGGCUGUGCCUCAGGAGCACAGAGCCCAGCUCUGUUCUUCUUCAUGUGGAUGUUUCUUACAGAAGCCUCUGCUACAAAUCCUGCACUGAAUGGCGGGGUUGCAAGGUGUGGGAGGAAAUCAGUCUUUGUCGGUGGUGGUGUUCCCCCAGCCCCAUGCAGCAGCAGUCCUGGGGUUUUCCCAUUCCCUGCCCUCAGCUACACCUCCCUCUCUGCUUUCCAGUGCAUCAGCACUCCCCUGUGUGCUGGCCCUGCCCCCUCCUGCUGCCGUUCAUCAUUUCUGAUCCAAUAAAUCACAGCGCCGUAAAAAUGCACAGGGAAUUGUUUUCUGUGUUAUAGAGCCAUGAGCCCUUAAAUUUCCAUUUGUUCAGUGAUUGAUGAAUGGACAGUUGUGGCUGGUGCUGGAGCCAUGUGGAGUGGUGGGAGAGCUCUGACAACAAUCAGGGCUCCCUCCUGCAGCCUCAGCACCACAGACCUCAUUGGUUAUGAGGCAAUACCUGUCUGGGGCUCCCCUUCCCAGCAAAACUGCUCAGUUCAUAGCUGGGGUCAAGGGAGGGGUGUGGAGAGGCUAAGUCAGAACAUUCAGGCUUUGUUCCUACCUUUGUGGACA
rnacentral:lncRNA from 1 species